AGUUUCUCUUAGACUUGGAGGAGAACAUUGCAUUCUCUAUGAUUAAAGUCGUGCCUUUGGGCAUAGUUACAAUUGCUCUUCCGGAGCCUUCAAUCAAUUUAGUACUUCCAGAGACUGUAGUAACUUUUGCCUUACACAUAUUUAGUUGAGAGAAAUAUUUCUUUUCUUUGAGUAUUGUAUGUGUAGUACAUGAAUCAACUAGGCAAAUACUUUUAUAGUUGNNN
rnacentral:lncRNA from 1 species